rnacentral:rRNA from 1 species
GGGGAAUAUUGCACAAUGGGCGCAAGCCUGAUGCAGCGACGCCGCGUGGGGGAUGACGGCCUUCGGGUUGUAAACUCCUUUCGCUAGGGACGAAGCUUUUUGUGACGGUACCUAGAUAAGAAGCACCGGCUAACUACGUGCCAGCAGCCGCGGUAAUACGUAGGGUGCGAGCGUUGUCCGGAAUUACUGGGCGUAAAGGGCUCGUAGGUGGUUUGUCGCGUCGUCUGUGAAAUUCCGGGGCUUAACUCCGGGCGUGCAGGCGAUACGGGCAUAACUUGAGUACUGUAGGGGUAACUGGAAUUCCUGGUGUAGCGGUGAAAUGCGCAGAUAUCAGGAGGAACACCGAUGGCGAAGGCAGGUUACUGGGCAGUUACUGACGCUGAGGAGCGAAAGCAUGGGUAGCGAACAGGACUAGAUACCCUGGUAGUCCAUGCCGUAAACGGUGGGCGCUAGGUGUGAGGGUCUUUUCACGACUUUCGUGCCGUAGCUAACGCAUUAAGCGCCCCGCCUGGGGAGUACGGCCGCAAGGCUA